rnacentral:rRNA from 1 species
UGCAAGUCGCGUGCGCAGUUCCUGUAGCAAUACAGGGAUGGGCGCACGGCGCACGGGUGCGUAACACGUGGGCAAUCUGCCCUUUGAUGGGGAAUAACCCGCCGAAAGGCGGGCUAAUUCCGCAUAAGAUUCUUUGAACUUCGGUUUGAAGAUUGAAAGCAGCAAUGCGUCGAAGGAGGAGCCCGCGCCCGAUUAGCUAGUUGGUAGGGUAACGGCCUACCAAGGCUAUGAUCGGUAGCUGGUCUGAGAGGAUGAUCAGCCACACUGGAACUGAGACACGGUCCAGACUCCUACGGGAGGCAGCAGUGGGGAAUCUUGCACAAUGGGCGAAAGCCUGAUGCAGCGACGCCGCGUGGGGGAUGAAGCAUCUCGGUGUGUAAACCCCUUUCGACUGGGAAGAAUGCCUCGCAAGAGGACUGACGGUACCAGUAUAAGAAGCCCCGGCUAACUACGUGCCAGCAGCCGCGGUAAGACGUAGGGGGCCAGCGUUGUUCGGAAUUACUGGGUGUAAAGGGUUCGUAGGCGGUGUGGCAAGUUGGGAGUGAAAUCUCUGGGCUCAACCCAGAGGCUGCUUCCAAAACUGCUGUGCUUGAGUGUGAGAGAGGCUCGUGGAAUUGCAGGUGUAGCGGUGAAAUGCGUAGAUAUCUGCAGGAACACCCGUGGCGAAAGCGGCGAGCUGGAUCACAACUGACGCUGAGGAACGAAAGCUAGGGGAGCAAACAGGAUUAGAUACCCUGGUAGU